GACGAACGCUGGAGGCGUGCUUAACACAUGCAAGUCGAACGAUGAAAUGGAGCUUGCUCCAUGGAUUAGUGGCGAACGGGUGAGUAACACGUGAAUAACCUGCCCUUAAUUUUGGAAUAACCCAGGGAAACCUGGGCUCAUACCGGAUAAGUAAACCUGUGGCAUCACAUGGUUUUGGAAAGUUUUUCGAUUAAGGAUGGAUUCGCGGCCUAUCAGCUUGUUGGUGAGGUAAUGGCUCACCAAGGCGACGACGGGUAGCCGGCCUGGGAGGGGGAAAGGCCACACGGGGACGGAGACACGGCCCAGACUCCUACGGGAGGCAGCAGUGGGGAAUAUUGCGCAAUGGACGAAAGUCUGACGCAGCGACGCCUCGUGAGGGACGAAGGUCUUCGGAUUGUAAACCUCUUUCAGCAGGGACGAAGCGAAAGUGACGGUACCUGCAGAAGAAGCACCGGCUAACUAUGUGCCAGCCGCCGCCGUAA
rnacentral:rRNA from 1 species